rnacentral:rRNA from 1 species
UACGUAGGGUGCAAGCGUUAAUCGGAAUUAGCUGGGCGUAAAGCGUGCGCAGGCGGUGAUGUAAGACAGUUGUGAAAUCCCCGGGCUCAACCUGGGAACUGCAUCUGUGACUGCAUUGCUGGAGUGCGGCAGAGGGGGAUGGAAUUCCGCGUGUAGCAGUGAAAUGCGUAGAUAUGCGGAGGAACACCGAUGGCGAAGGCAAUCCCCUGGGCCUGCACUGACGCUCAUGCACGAAAGCGUGGGGAGCAAACAGG